rnacentral:rRNA from 1 species
UGCCAGACUCCUACGGGAGGCAGCAGUGGGGAAUAUUGCACAAUGGGGGAAACCCUGAUGCAGCGACGCCGCGUGAGUGAAGAAGUAUUUCGGUAUGUAAAGCUCUAUCAGCAGGGAAGAAAAUGACGGUACCUGACUAAGAAGCCCCGGCUAACUACGUGCCAGCGGCCGCGGUAAUACGUAGGGGGCAAGCGUUAUCCGGAUUUACUGGGUGUAAAGGGAGCGUAGACGGCAUGGCAAGUCAGAUGUGAAAGCCCGGGGCUCAACCCCGGGACUGCAUUUGAAACUGUCAGGCUGGAGUGCAGGAGAGGUAAGUGGAAUUCCUAGUGUAGCGGUGAAAUGCGUAGAUAUCAGGAGGAACACCGGUGGCGAAGGCGGCCUGCUGGACUGCAACUGACGUUGAGGCCCGAAAGCGUGGGGAGCAAACAGGAUUAGAUACCCGUGUAA